AAGGUAGCGAAAUUCCUUGUCGGGUAAGUUCCGACCUGCACGAAUGGCGUAACGAUCUCCACGCUGUCUCGGCCAGAGACUCGGUGAAAUUGAAGUCGCGGUGAAAAUGCCGUGUACCCGCAGAAAGACGGAAAGACCCUGUGCACCUUUACUAUAGCUUGACAUUGGGUUUUGAACCUGCAUGUGUAGGAUAGGUGGGAGGCUGUGAAAGCUGUACGCCAGUAUGGCCGGAGCCACCCGUGAAAUACCACCCUUGUUUGUUCAGGACCCUAACUCGCCGCUGUAAUCCAGCGCGAAGACAGUGUCUGGUGGGUAGUUUGACUGGGGCGGUCGCCUCCUAAAGAGUAACGGAGGCAUGCAAAGGUUCCCUCAGGCUGAUUGGAAACCAGCCGUUGAGUGCAAGCGCAUAAGGGAGCUUGACUGCAAGAGAGACAUCUCGAACAGAUACGAAAGUAGGUGCUAGUGAUCCGGUGGUCCCGAAUGGAAGGGCCAUCGCUCAUUGGAUAAAAGGUACGCCGGGGAUAACAGGCUGAUCGCAUCCAAGAGUUCACAUCGACGAUGCGGUUUGGCACCUCGAUGUCGGCUCAUCACAUCCUGGGGCUGAAGCAGGUCCCAAGGGUUUGGCUGUUCGCCAAUUAAAGUGGUACGCGAGCUGGGUUCAGAACGUCGUGAGACAGUUCGGUCCCUAUCUGUCGUGGGCGCAGGAUAUUUGAAAGGAGCUGUCCCUAGUACGAGAGGACCGGGAUGGACGCACCUCUGGUGCACCAGUUGUCACGCCAGUGGCACAGCUGGGCAGCUAUGUGCGGAACGGAUAAACGCUGAAAGCAUCUAAGCGUGAAGCCGCCUCCAAGAUAAGAUAUCCCAUAGCAUAAGCUAGUAAGACCCCUCAUGGACUAAGAGGUUGAUAGGCUGCAUGUGUAAGCGUGGUGACACGUUUAGCUUGGCAGUACUAAUAGGUCGAGGGCUUGACUUU
rnacentral:rRNA from 1 species